UACAGAGGUCCCGAGCGUUGUUCGGAUUCACUGGGCGUAAAGGGUGCGUAGGUGGCUUGAAAAGUUUGAUGUGAAAGCUCAGGGCUUAACCCUGAAAUGGCAUUGAAAACUGUCGGGCUGGAGGUUUGGAGGGGGGACUGGAAUUCUUGGUGUAGCAGUGAAGUGCGUAGAUAUCAAGAGGAACACCAGUGGCGAAGGCGAGUCCCUGGACAACACCUGACACUGAGGCACGAAAGCUAGGGGAGCAAACAGG
rnacentral:rRNA from 1 species